CCCGCAACGAGCGCAACCCUUAUUGUUAGUUGCUACCAUUUAGUUGAGCACUCUAGCGAGACUGCCCGGGUUAACCGGGAGGAAGGUGGGGAUGACGUCAAAUCAUCAUGCCCCCUUAUGUCUAGGGCUACACACGUGCUACAAUGGCUGGUACAGAGAGAUGCUAAACCGCGAGGUCGGAGCCAAACUUUAAAACCAGUCUCAGUUCGGAUUGUAGGCUGAAACUCGCCUACAUGAAGCUGGAGUUGCUAGUAAUCGCGAAUCAGAAUGUCGCGGUGAAUACGUUCCCGGGCCUUGUACACACCGCCCGUCACACCAUGAGAGUUGGCAAUACCCAAAGUUCGUGAGCUAACGCGUAAGCGGGGCAGCGACCUAAGGUAGGGUCAGCGAUUGGGGUGAAGUCGUAACAAGGUAGCCGUAGGAGAACCUGCGGCU
rnacentral:rRNA from 1 species